CUUUCUUCCAGGGAAUAUCAAUUACAAAACCAUUCAAAAGAAGAGAUUACAUAAGGCACUGAAAUAGACUCCACCUGAAACAAAACUCAAAUUUAUAUAUAUAUAUAUGUGUGUGUGCGCGUGUGAGUGCGUGUAUUUAAAUAGUGUUGUAAUACCACGCGUGUCCGGUAGAGGUCACAAGAGUCCUUCAGAUGAGCUUGUUCUCAAUCUGCACCUGAAGGGCUUUAUCAGUGAUGAUUGAGAACGAUUACAUUAUUAUGCCAUUUCACAAGAUGAAUAUGCACAUUAGGAGUGGAUUUGGGUUACUGUACUUAAUCCAUCUUUUUUUUUGCUCAUCAAAUCAACCUUUUUCCCUUACGAGCAAAUGCAUGCCAGCAGGCCGCAUCUUAUUUUCCCAAAUGUGAUGCAUUGCUUUAUCGCUAAUUAUGAAUAUGCAAAUGAAGGCAGGCUCAAUGAGAAGUGUUUUGAAAAAUAGACUCCCUAAGGCCUUGAUUGAUUAUAUCACACAUGAGAGUGUUUCUAUAGAGAACUGCAGAAAAAUCACACCUCGAUUUCUUUUCUUGUUGAGAUUUAUAUUGUGCAAGUAAAAUAAGUUUUGAAUUCGAUUCAAGUAGGAUUAGAUAUUUGUUUUGCAUGGAGCAAGUUUAGUCCAGCUAAAUCUGUUGUAUCCAUACUGCUGUCUGUAAAGUGAAUCUUUGAAUCAGAUAUGCAUCUGUGGAUGUCAUCAAACAUUGCAUCUGUUUGCCUGUUCAGCUGCACUUUCACAGGUUUAGUUUCUUGAGCGACGCUGAUAAUGUGCCAGAUUACGGACACUGAAGAUGUAAAAUGUGUCAGAUGUGUGUUUGUGAGCUCUGUGGUGCUUCUCACUACAGCUUUAUUUGACAGAACAGCUGUGUGAAACACAGGGAGACGAUGUCCCACGAGAUCCAGAGACCGAACAGACCUCACAAGUGCAGUUUUACUUUCCUGUGAUGACUUUUUUUUUUUUUUUUUUCUGUUGGCACAGGACAUAUUGAAGAGCUUGUCCUUUUAUUAAUGAAAGCAAGGUCUGAUAAUAAGCUGUACUUUGGAUCCAAUUAAGUCACUUUAGAUAAAAGUGUCUGUUAAAUGCAUAUGUGAAACACAUCAUUAAGACGUUUUAGCUUCAAAACAUUGGUUAAAUAUGAGACUGUAUUCGGUAAUAAUUCUUACUCUGGUGAAAAAGUGUUCUGGUGUGAAUCAGGAGAGAAAUCUGCACAGAUCAAGCAGCGUUUAAACAGCUCUAAACAAAUCUGUGGCUGGAUUUUGAUGUGAGAGACAACAGCAGAUGCACUUUUUCACUGGAGGAAGUGUUAUUAUGGAUUAUAGACUCUAUGUGUUUGAGUUAAAAAACGUCUUAAUGCUGGAUUUGUUUCAGCUUUUGUCUUCUCCAGAUGUUAACUGAUGGACUGGAGUGCUGUGGAUUACUUGUGGAUUAUUGUGAUGUUUUUAUGGACUCUCAUUCUGACGGCACCCAUUCAGAGCAUCCAUUGCUGAGACAUUUCUCCAAAUCUGAUGAAGAAACAAACUCAUCUAAACCUCGGAUGUCCUGAGGUUUCAGUUUGAAUUCAGAAGCAUGUCUUAUUG
ensembl:lncRNA